rnacentral:rRNA from 1 species
GAUGAACGCUAGCUACAGGCUUAACACAUGCAAGUCGUGGGGCAUCAUGAUGUAGUAAUACAUUGAUGGCGACCGGCGCACGGGUGAGUAACGCGUAUCCAACCUACCCUCCACUCAAGUAUAGGCUUCCGAAAGGGAGAUUAAUCCUUGAUAUCGUCAUUCUCUCUCCUGUUAGAAUGAUAAAAGGACAUCGUUUCGGUAGAGGAUGGGGAUGCGUUCCAUUAGGUAGUAGGUGGUUUAACAGGCCACCUAGCCGAUGAUGGAUAGGGGUUCUGAGAGGAAUAUCCCCCACACUGGUACUGAGAUACGGACCAGACUCCUACGGGAGGCAGCAGUGAGGAAUAUUGGUCAAUGGGCGCAAGCCUGAACCAGCCAUGUAGCGUGAAGGAUGACGGUUUUUUUGAUUGUAAACUUCUUUUCUGUGCGAUUAAAGUGUGGCAUUUAUGCCAUAAUG